GCUGCGGGGCUGGAGAUGGGAGGUGCUGUAGCACCAGGAUUCCCCACGGGGAUGCUCAGCACCAGCCUGGCUGCAGCUGCAGGGCUGGGGCUGCGUCCCCCCUUGUAAUGACAGGAUAAGAAGGGACCGGGUCAGCCAAAGUGCCUGCGCUGGGCAGGGGCUGCCAGCCAAGGGCCGGGUGGGGAGCAGCUGAGCUGCAGCACCGCAACUGCAGCCCUGCAGUGAGAGCAGCGAGCGGGGAGCAGCGCUGAGCCCCAACCCCUGCAGCAGUGAGCGGCUCCUGGCUUAGCGAGGCAAAACGCACAGCUUGGCGAGGAGCAACGCGCACAGAGAGAGCUGGAAGGCAGCACGGGAAGCAGAGCAGGGCAGGGCAGAGCAGCGCUGGUGUCAGCGGCGGCACACAGCUCCCAAUGCCCGCAAGGUGAGUGGCAGCGCCGGGUCAGCCCUCCGGGCAGCUCCCACCUCGCUGUGCCACUGCCGGCACCGGCGAUUCCUUUGGCUUUUUUCUUGUUUCCCAUCGCUGCUUUAAAGAGCUCUGAAGCAAGGACAUGCAAGAAUAGAAAAGGCAACAAGGAUUUUUUUUUUCCUUUUUUCUUUUCUUUUCUUUUUUUUUUUUUUUGCAGCUUGCUACAGGGAAAGGGGUGAAGGAGAGGCAGGGACGGGAAAUCAAACUAUGCUGCAGGAUUUGGGGCUGUUCCAACCUAACAAAGCAGCCGGGUGACCCCGAGGAGCAGCAGAAAGCACCCGGAGCCCCUCCGCCACCGCUGCAGCACGCGCUUCCUGCAUCCAUCCAUCCCAAGGCAGCCCGCAGUAACGCAGCAGAAAGACAAGGGUCAUGCUGAGCCGCAUCCUCCUCGCACACAACAGCCGAGCGGCAGCACCGAACAUGCAUGGCUCAGCCGUGCCGCCACGCCACGCCGGAACGGAGAGCCUUAAAAUAAGGAGCUGUAGCAGCGAUGAGGUCUCCCCUCAGCCCCUCUCCUCCACGCUGACCCAUCCCACAGCGCUGUGCUCCGACCCAUCACAGCUCCUGCCCAUCUCUGGACACACCUGGGGCCCCAAUGUGUUUCUGGCAGCGAGGGGCCCCAGCACCGAACAGAGCACUGCAGGUGCACAGCAACGAUCACCUUCUGCUGACUGCACUACUUCUGACACAAGCCAGGAUGCCGCUGGCUCCUUGGCCACCCUGGCACACUGCUGGCUCAUGUUCAUGUGACGCUGCAGAUGGAACGGAGCCUAAUACCAACAAGCACACGUCAGCCCAUCAACAGGAUGUACAAUUAAUGAUUAUGGAUAAAUAAUCCAGCUGAUCACAAGUCGAUUCCAAACCCCUAUUUGGUUUGUUGGUUGGUUUUUCUAUGCGCGGCCACAAGCACCAACAGAUCCUUCUUUUCUGUAAUACACAAGCACAGGGCUAUCUGUGGCUGUUACAGGAGGAGGACCCCCAGCCCCACAGGCCAGCAGCCCCUCUGCAGCCUGGAGCCACAUGCUGAGCCCAGGACUGUGCUGGGCAAUGCAGGACGCUGCAUACAGAUGAGUUUUAAGGGACAAAAAGCCCUGGUGGCAGCUCCUGGGCCCAAUUCUCACGUGCCAAACUUCCCAACUGCUGCAGAGCAGCUCGACGGCAUUUCAAAAGAAUUCCUGCUCUGUUUUGA
rnacentral:lncRNA from 1 species